GAGACAUUAGUAAAACAAUUACAUAUCUUUGUCAAGGCUAAAUCAUGAGUGAGACUCUCAUAUGUCUCU
rnacentral:tRNA from 1 species